AUUGAACGCUGGCGGCAUGCCUUACACAUGCAAGUCGAACGGCAGCACGGGAGCAAUCCUGGUGGCGAGUGGCGAACGGGUGAGUAAUAUAUCGGAACGUGCCCAGUCGUGGGGGAUAACGUAGCGAAAGCUACGCUAAUACCGCAUACGAUCUACGGAUGAAAGCGGGGGAUCGCAAGACCUCGCGCGAUUGGAGCGGCCGAUAUCAGAUUAGGUAGUUGGUGAGGUAAAGGCUCACCAAGCCGACGAUCUGUAGCUGGUCUGAGAGGACGACCAGCCACACUGGGACUGAGACACGGCCCAGACUCCUACGGGAGGCAGCAGUGGGGAAUAUUGGACAAUGGGCGAAAGCCUGAUCCAGCCAUGCCGCGUGUGUGAAGAAGGUCUUCGGAUUGUAAAGCACUUUAAGUUGGGAGGAAGGGCAGUAAGUUAAUACCUUGCUGUUUUGACGUUACCAACAGAAUAAGCACCGGCUAACUUCGUG
rnacentral:rRNA from 1 species